GUGCUAGUGACCUAAUACGGUAUAUAUGGGGUCAGUAAAUUGCAUAUGGAAUUUACUGACCCCAUAUAUACCGUAUUACGUCACCAGCACACUA
rnacentral:sRNA from 1 species